AGCUGAGAAUGUAAGCCUGUUGAAGCCAAGCAGGCAAGAAAAGCUGAAAGGAAGGGACUGAUCCCUCAGGCCUGUCUUUGCCUAGAUUUAUCAAUCAGGUGAAUGGUGACUUUCAGAGUUUUGCUAUGCUGUUCUAUUCCUGACACUCAUGGUGUGUGAGUUAGAAAUAUUGUUUGACAAAUUCAAUGUCAGGACUAGGCUAAUUUCAAUAGACAGCUUUCUGAAGAGGCUGGCAUAGUAUUCACCAAAUCCCAUAUUCAUGUUAUGGCAAGGAAAAUUCAGGCCCAGGGAAUUCUUGGGCAAAAACUUCGGAGAUGACAGAGGCAUUGGAUAAUGCAAGAGAUCACUCUGACCAAGUCGCAGGGGUCAAAAUGAUUGGAAAUAUUCCAAGUAAUGCCUGAUCAGCAGAGAGGAUCAAACUAUAGAAGAAAAGAUUAAGAACGGAAGACAGGAGAAACAAGUAAAAGACCAGGAACUCCAAACAGUAGAUGGAACACAGGCAGAGAAGGAGCUUGACAAGGGAUCUGGAUUUCGUAAACUGCAAAUGAGAGGAUAUUCAACAUGAGUUUCACUGAUGUCUGAAUUGAAAUUAAACCUGGUAUUCAGUCUAUAA